UAAUAUUAUGUGGAUCUGAAU
ensembl:piRNA 21ur-3429 ncRNA